UCGAAAGAGCGUCCCGUUAUUAGCUUUCAUGAGCAUUCUGAUAUUUGGCUCUCACGAGCUUCCCGUUAUAUGGUUCUUGCGAGCUUUUCGUUAAUAGCUUUUCAGAGAAUCCCGAUUGGUUAUAAUCCUGCAUGUGUUGUGGACACACAUAGCUCUUAUGAGAGUCCCGAUAUAUGGCUCUCCGGAGCUUUCCGAUUAAAGGCUCUUUUAUGAGCUUCCCGAUUAAUGGCUCUCCGGAGCUUCCCGAUAUUGGCUCACUUGAACUUUUCGAUCCUGUUAUAUGGCUCGAGAGAGAGCUUCUUGUUUAAGUGCUCCUAUGAGCAUUCUCGAAUAUAAAUUGACGAAUUACAGAUGUGUACACUUCAUUUGUACUGCCUGUGUAUCCAUCGAUAUUUUAAAUGAUUCAACAAACAAAGUUCUGGCAUGAGAUAACAUGAAAUUGAAAUGAACUAUACCAGUAUAUUCCCAAAAUAUAUGGAAUUGAUGUAUGAACACAAGAUGUGGAAAGUUUAUGAACAUGGAAAUUUGAUAUUUGAUGAGCUCAUACAUGUUUGUUGAAAUUCAUGUGAAAUACAUGACUAACAUGUUUGAUGAGGAUAUGUGUAUAGGCUACUGGCCAAAUUGCUUUGGAUGUAUUUGGUAAGCUUAACUUAAAUGUAAAUGAAUGAUUAGUUAAUUUCCCAUUAUACGAACUUACUAGGCUUUAAAGUUUACUCUAUUUUAUUUUCCUCUAUUCUAUAGAAAUUCAGAAGCUCAUUGGGUUGGAAGCUUGGCAAAGAUGUCAUUACACUAUCCAUCGGCCCAUUUCGAUACAUAUAGAAAACUAAUUUUGGUUAUAAUGGCAUGUAUAGGGUAAAUUAGCCAAUGUUGGCUUAAUAGCAUUUUUUUGUAAAUAACCAUUGGAAUGGCUUGAGUUGAACAUAUUUUGAUAUGUAUAUAUAUGUGUGUGUGGCUUUAUCA
rnacentral:lncRNA from 1 species